rnacentral:rRNA from 1 species
ACUCCUACGGGAGGCAGCAGUGGGGAAUAUUGCACAAUGGGGGAAACCCUGAUGCAGCCAUGCCGCGUGUGUGAAGAAGGCCUUCGGGUUGUAAAGCACUUUCAGUAGGGGAAGGAUGUNGUGUAGUUAACACCUGCACUAUUUUGACGUUACCUACAGAAGAAGCACCGGCUAACUCCGUGCCAGCAGCCGCGGUAAUACGGAGGGUGCGAGCGUUAAUCGGAAUUACUGGGCGUAAAGCGCAUGCAGGCGGCCUGUUAAGUCAGAUGUGAAAGCCCGGGGCUUAACCUCGGAAUUGCAUUUGAAACUGGCAGGCUAGAGUCUUGUAGAGGGGGGUAGAAUUUCAGGUGUAGCGGUGAAAUGCGUAGAGAUCUGAAGGAAUACCAGUGGCGAAGGCGGCCCCCUGGACAAAGACUGACGCUCAGAUGCGAAAGCGUGGGGAGCAAACAGGAUUAGAUACCCUGGUAGGAUAG